UACGUAGGGUCCGAGCGUUGUCCGGAAUUAUUGGGCGUAAAGAGCUCGUAGGCGGUUCGUCACGUCGGGAGUGAAAACUCGGGGCUUAACCCCGAGCCUGCUUCCGAUACGGGCAGACUAGAGGUAGGCAGGGGAGAGCGGAACUCCUGGUGUAGCGGUGGAAUGCGCAGAUAUCAGGAAGAACACCGGUGGCGAAGGCGGCUCUCUGGGCCUUACCUGACGCUGAGGAGCGAAAGCGUGGGUAGCAAACAGG
rnacentral:rRNA from 1 species